UUUUGUCGUCAAUAAAUGACAUGUUCUAUUAGUCUACUUUAACACUCGCGUUUUAGCUUUCCGUUUGUGAGAUCUGUUCAGGGCUCACACAAGCGGUCCAAAACGGAUCAGUUUGCAUUCUAAUGCAUUCUGAAUGGAAAAGGAUCCGCUCAGAAUGCAU